rnacentral:pre_miRNA from 1 species
UGAUGAUGAGGAUGAUGAUGAUGAUGAUGAUGAUGAUGAUAAUGAAGAAGAAGAAGAUGAUGAUCAUCAUCAUCAUCAUGAUCAUGAUCAUGAGAA